GAUGAACGCUAGCGGCAGGCCUAAUACAUGCAAGUCGGACGGGAUCCAUUGAUAGCUUGCUCUCAAUGGUGAGAGUGGCGCACGGGUGCGUAACGCGUGAGCAACCUGCCUCCAUCAGGGGGAUAGCCUCUCGAAAGAGAGAUUAACACCGCAUAAUAUCAACAGUUCGCAUGUUCAGUUGAUUAAAUAUUUAUAGGAUGGAGAUGGGCUCGCGUGACAUUAGCUAGUUGGUAGGGUAACGGCUUACCAAGGCGACGAUGUCUAGGGGCUCUGAGAGGAGAAUCCCCCACACUGGUACUGAGACACGGACCAGACUCCUACGGGAGGCAGCAGUAAGGAAUAGUGGGCAAUGGGCGGAAGCCUGAACCAGCCAUGCCGCGUGCAGGAUGACUGCCCUAUGGGUUGUAAACUGCUUUUGUACAGGAAUAAACCUAAAUACGAGUAUUUAGCUGAAUGUACUGGAAGAAUAAGGAUCGGCUAACUCCGUG
rnacentral:rRNA from 1 species